rnacentral:lncRNA from 10 species
AAUCAGCGAGACUCCGUGGGCGUAGGACCCUCCGAGCCAGGUGCGGGAUAUAAUCUCGUGGUGCGACGCUUUUUAAGCCCUUCAGAAAAGCGCAGUGUUCGGGUGGGAGUGACCCGAUUUUCCAGGUGCCGCCCGUCACCCCUUUCUUUGACUCAGAAAGGGAACUCCCUGACCCCUUGCGCUUCCCAAGUGAGGCAAUGCCUCGCCCUGCUUCGGCUCGCGCACGGUGCGCGCACCCGCUGACCUGCACCCACUGUCUGGCACUCCUUAGUGAGAUGAACCCGGUACCUCAGAUGGAAAUGCAGAAAUCACCCGUCUUCUGCGUCGCUCACGCUGGGAGCUGUAGACCGGAGCUGUUCCUAUUCGGCCAUCUUGGCUCCUCCUGUAACAAUUUCUUGAGAUGAAGAUCCUGAAUACCAAAGAGGGCCGCUGACAGGUCUAGGAGUACACUUCUAGCACCUAGCAGAGAGAGGCUUCACUACAUCAUGCUUCCUGACAUCUCUCCCUUUGAAGAGCAGUCAGACUCCUGCUUUGCUCUUCAGACUUAAUUUGGGGGUUUAACAGCCAUGUGAAGUGCUCACUCCCCCUUUGCCUUCUGCCAUGAUUGUGUGUUUCCUGAGGCCUCCCCAGAAGCUGAGAAGAUGCUUCCUGUACAGCCUGCAGAACUGGAUAGCCCAGAGCUAUUCCAUGUAUUCCAUGGAUGGGCACAUUUGGAAGUUUGGUUCUAAAAUCUAAAAGAAGAAAUUUAAGUGUGCUGAAGAUAACUGCAACUCCAAACCUAACGCUGUGUAAUUCUAUGUUCUGCCAUUUUGAAGCAAAGUGGAACCAGAAGUGAGAGGACUAUUUCUAGGUCAUGCUACGGUUACCCUGACCCCAGUC